AGUCAACAUGCCCAGGGGACGUGGAUAACCUCGGGAAACUGAGGAUAAACCGCGAUAGGUCAUAAUGUCUGGAAUGAUUUAUGGCUGAAAUCUAUAUGGCCUCUGGAUUGGACUGCGGCCGAUCAGGCUGUCGGUGAGGUAAUGGCCCACCAAACCUAAAACCGGUACGGGCUCUGAGAGGAGAAGCCCGGAGAUGGGCACUGAGACAAGGGCCCAGGCCCUAUGGGGCGCAGCAGGCGCGAAAACUCUGCAAUAGGCGAAAGCUUGACAGGGUUAUUCUGAGUGAUUUCCGCUAAGGAGAUCUUUUGGCACCUCUAAAAAUGGUGCAGAAUAAGGGGUGGGCAAGCCUGGUGUCAGCCGCCGCGGUAAUACCAGCACCCCGAGUGGUCGGGACGAUUAUUGGGCCUAAAGCAUCCGUAGCCGGUUCUACAAGUCUUCCGUUAAAUCCACCUGCUUAACAGUUGGGCUGCAGAGGAUACUAUAGAGCUAGGAGGCGGGAGAGGCAAGCGGUACUUAGUGGGUAGGGGUAAAAUCCGUUGAUCCACUGAAGACCACCAGUGGCGAAGGCGGCUUGCCAGAACGCGCUCGACGGUGAGGGAUGAAAGCUGGGGGAGCAAACCGGAUUAGAUACCCGGGUAGUCCCAGCUGUAAACGAUGCAGACUCGGUGAUGAAUAAGCUUCGUGCUUAUUCAGUGCCGCAGGGAAGCCGUUAAGUCUGCCGCCUGGGGAGUACGGUCGCAAGACUGAAACUUAA
rnacentral:rRNA from 1 species